rnacentral:rRNA from 1 species
GACGAACGCUGGCGGCGUGCCUAAUACAUGCAAGUCGAGCGAAGUUUUUCUGGUGCUUGCACUAGAAAAACUUAGCGGCGACCGGGUGAGUAACACGUAAAGAACCUGCCUCAUAGACUGGGACAACUAUUGGAAACGAUAGCUAAUACCGGAUAACAGUAUUUCUCGCAUGAGAGAUAUUUAAAAGUUGGUUAUGCUAACACUAUGAGAUGGCUUUGCGGUGCAUUAGCUAGUUGGUGGGGUAAAGGCCCACCAAGGCGACGAUGCAUAGCCGACCUGAGAGGGUGAUCGGCCACACUGGGACUGAGACACGGCCCAGACUCCUACGGGAGACAGCAGUAGGGAAUCUUCCGCAAUGGGCGAAAGCCUGACGGAGCAACGCCGCGUGAGUGAAGAAGGAUUUCGGUUCGUAAAGCUCUGUUGUUAGGGAAGAAUGGAUAUGUAGUAACUAUACAUGUAAGAGACGGUACCUAACCAGAAAGCCACGGCUAACUACGUG